CAAUCGCGUGCGAGGUCAUGGCCACGGCUCACACAGCAGUACAAGAGGACCAUUAAGCGAUGUUUGGUUUGGUGUUUGUAACUCUCCAAGAAGAGAAGACGGGUGCACAAUCCCAAGAUUGCGGAGGCUGUACGGCGUCUCUGAGGCACACUGCAGGCGCUUUGAACCAGAGCAAAGACUAACGUCGCCUCAUAACGAAGCCGUGACCUCCUAUUUGGUUGGGGCUAUUUUAGCAAGUCCACAUUUAACUGCUGAGAAUGACGACAUUGUUUCUGCCUGUAAGACGUAUUAUGAGUCGGUUCGCCGGAGCUUCAGAUACAAACAACCUGAACUCGCAUCGCGGGCGGAAAAUACGAAAAGUUUAGCUCGGAGUCGAUCCAGAAGAAAAAGGUUGCUGGAAGCGAGACGAAGUGUGCUGGCUGAGGGUGAGAUGGACAUUUGAAAGUGCGCCACCAUAGAUCUCAUGUCUGAUGAAGACGGCAUUGUUGACGGGGUGUCUGGAUGGAUUGUACGGCCACCGCCCUCUCGCAGCCUGGAACUCUCCGAGCUCUGUGCCACGCUGCAAUUCAGAUUAGAGGCGAUACCAAAGUACAGGGGAACUCACCAUAUAUGCCUGCAAAAGCGACUUUUUACAACGU